rnacentral:tRNA from 2 species
GGGCCCGUGGGGUAGCUUGGCAUCCUUGACGGCUGGGGGCCGUUAGACCCCGAUUCAAAUUCGGGCGGGCCCACCA